UCUUUACAAAUAUUGCUAGAAUUACCAAAACAAAGAAGUGCGUCUCCUUGCAAAUGCCGCUUGAAUUACCAUGGGUUUGAAUACCAAAUAUGUGCAACAACAUUGCCUCUUGCAUUUGUAGAAGUGAGAAUAUUACGGCCCUUGAUGUUUAGGCUUUGAAAUCGUUGAUUUGAAGGUAGCAUGUAUUCCUAUUUCAUACAAAGAAAACUUGUUAGUUUAAAAACAUGGUGGUU
rnacentral:lncRNA from 1 species